rnacentral:tRNA from 1 species
GGGGACGUGGUGAAAUGGUAAACACUGGCGACUUAAAAUCGCCCGGCCUCGGCCUUGCGGGUUCAAGUCCCGCCGUCCCCACCA